rnacentral:rRNA from 1 species
GCAUAUCAAUAAGCGGAGGAAAAGAAACUAACAAGGAUUCCCCUAGUAACGGCGAGUGAAGCGGGAAAAGCUCAAGCUUAAAAUCUCCAUAACUUUUAGUUGUGGCGAAUUGUAGUCUAAUGAAGCUGUUGUCAGCAUCGUUAUCUGGGUCAAGUCCCUUGGAAGAGGGCAGCAUAGAGGGUGAUACUCCCGUCUUUCCCUGGAUAAUGUUUGUGUACGACACGCUUUCUUUGAGUCGAGUUGCUUGGGAAUGCAGCUCAAAGUAGGUGGUAAAUUCCAUCUAAAGCUAAAUAUAGGUGCGAGACCGAUAGCGAACAAGUACCGUGAGGGAAAGAUGAAAAGAACUUUGAAAAGAGAGUUAAAGAGUACCUGAAACUGCUGAAAGGGAAUCGGAUCGUUUCCAGUGUUUUUAAUCCUUGGUAUAUUCCAGUGGGGAAUGGUGUUGUUGAUAUGUUUUGGUAUCAGUUUAUUCUGUGCCGGAUGUGUUGAUGAUGUUGUUUGCUGCUGCACUGUGCCUUGGUGUGACGUCAUAGUCAGUUUGUAUCUCGUGGGAAAUGAUCAUUGAGGAGGUAGUCUAGCAUUUAUGUUAGAUGUUAUAUCUUGGUGAUUAGUAGUCAUGGGUGAGACUGAGGGACCUACAACAUGCAAUAAGGGUAUUGAUGGGAUCUUGUUUGACAUAAUUUUAGGACAGCUUGUCUGUGCUUGAGUUUUUGUUGGAUAACUUUUCUGUUGACAACCUUCGCUGUUCGGGACUUUGGCGAAAUGGAACGAUCCGUCCCCGUCUUGAAACACGGACC